UCUUCUCUUAUAGGCAUUGCAGGCUGCUGUGCCACAUGUGAACCAGUAAGUUACAGUAAGGAGAGAGGCUAUGUCUAUGCUUAGUGUUAUGACCUAUGACCAUCUGAAUGAUUAGUAGCCUAACUUU